rnacentral:rRNA from 2 species
UGGAUCCAGACUUUGAUCCUGGCUCAGGAUGAACGCUAGCUACAGGCUUAACACAUGCAAGUCGAGGGGCAGCGGGAUUGAAGCUUGCUUCAAUUGCCGGCGACCGGCGCACGGGUGAGUAACGCGUAUCCAACCUUCCGUACACUCAGGGAUAGCCUUUCGAAAGAAAGAUUAAUACCUGAUGGUAUGAUGAGAUUGCAUGAUAGCAUCAUUAAAGAUUUAUCGGUGUACGAUGGGGAUGCGUUCCAUUAGGUAGUAGGCGGGGUAACGGCCCACCUAGCCAACGAUGGAUAGGGGUUCUGAGAGGAAGGUCCCCCACAUUGGAACUGAGACACGGUCCAAACUCCUACGGGAGGCAGCAGUGAGGAAUAUUGGUCAAUGGACGAGAGUCUGAACCAGCCAAGUAGCGUGAAGGAUGAAGGUCCUACGGAUUGUAAACUUCUUUUAUAAGGGAGUAAACCCUCCCACGUGUGGGAGCUUGUAUGUACCUUAUGAAUAAGCAUCGGCUAACUCCGUGCCAGCAGCCGCGGUAAUACGGAGGAUGCGAGCGUUAUCCGGAUUUAUUGGGUUUAAAGGGAGCGCAGACGGGUCGUUAAGUCAGCUGUGAAAGUUUGGGGCUCAACCUUAAAAUUGCAGUUGAUACUGGCGUCCUUGAGUGCGGUUGAGGUGUGCGGAAUUCGUGGUGUAGCGGCGAAAUGCUUAGAUAUCACGAAGAACUCCGAUUGCGAAGGCAGCACACCAAUCCGUAACUGACGUUCAUGCUCGAAAGUGUGGGUAUCAAACAGGAUUAGAUACCCUGGUAGUCCACACGGUAAACGAUGGAUACUCGCUGUUGGCGAUAUACUGUCAGCGGCUUAGCGAAAGCGUUAAGUAUCCCACCUGGGGAGUACGCCGGCAACGGUGCAACUCAAAGGAAUUGACGGA